GGCGAGGUGGCCGAGUGUUUCAGGCACAAGCUUGCAAAGCUUGAGACGGUGGUUAGAUUCCACCCCUCGCCUCCA
rnacentral:tRNA from 1 species